CCCUGCGGCUCCAGAGCCCUGUCCGGCCGGCGCGGAAAGCGCUCAAGCCUCUCCAAGUACCCGGCACUGCUAUUAGGUCUCAUUGUACUGGAUGAAGGCCCUGCACGUGGUAAGAAAUGCUCCACUCCCUGGCAGAAUUGCAGUCUAAGUGAGGCAGAAGAGGGCGGGAGAAAGGAAAUAAGUAAGUAGCAACCCUAUUAAAAAGAUGAUGGACUGAGGCACUGAACAAUUACAUGACUGUACUGAGGUCAUACAGGAAGCCCAUGCCAGAACUGAGAAAUAAAACUGGAUCACCUGAGUGCGAGCGUUGAGCAGGAUUAUCUGUCCUCUUCAGACUUCACUGGUAUAUCAGUCGCACGACCUUUAUCACAUGUCAUGGUACCAGUUUUUCACAGCUCCAUGCACCACGUGUGUGCCCAUGAUAAUGCAGUUCAGGGGCGUAAUUAAAACCACAGUAUAAUUUUUCCUACACAUUUUGCUUAUGAAAAGUGUAUGAGCAAAACAGAAAGACACAGGAGCUCUGCUUAUUGUGGUUCCAUGGCUGGGCCCUCUGAAAUACAUACAAAAACUGAUCAAAAUUGAA